GAUGAACGCUGGCGGCGUGCCUAAUACAUGCAAGUCGAGCGAACAGACGAGGAGCUUGCUCCUCUGACGUUAGCGGCGGACGGGUGAGUAACACGUGGAUAACCUACCUAUAAGACUGGGAUAACUUCGGGAAACCGGAGCUAAUACCGGAUAAUAUAUUGAACCGCAUGGUUCAAUAGUGAAAGACGGUUUUGCUGUCACUUAUAGAUGGAUCCGCGCCGCAUUAGCUAGUUGGUAAGGUAACGGCUUACCAAGGCAACGAUGCGUAGCCGACCUGUGAGGGUGAUCGGCCACACUGGAACUGAGCCACGGUCACGACUCCUACGGGAGGCAGCAGUAGGGAAUCUUCCGCAAUGGGCGAAAGCCUGACGGAGCAACGCCGCGUGAGUGAUGAAGGUCUUCGGAUCGUAAAACUCUGUUAUUAGGGAAGAACAAAUGUGUAAGUAACUAUGCACGUCUUGACGGUACCUAAUCAGAAAGCAACGGCUAACUACGUG
rnacentral:rRNA from 1 species